AGCGGCGUUCGAGUUCUCUCUCCGCUCUCGGCGCCGGCCAGAAGGUUCGUCCCGCAGGUAACGGCCCACGCGAAGGAGCCGGGAGUUUGGGCUCGUGAUGAGCAAGAGGAAACAGAGGUCCCUGGCAGGUCCAGAGAUUAGGUAACUAAGUCUCAGAGAAUCGAACUCACUUGCCAUAGCUGAGACGUGGUCAGGUCAGAAUUGGACGCCAAGUUUGUGCUCCUAACGCUACACCAGCAACCUACCGGAGGGCCUUGUAGGAGCUUUUGGCUGAUCACCGCUUGGUGGUUCUUCAUUCGUUCACUUAGAUAGUGAGCGGCAUCUGUACCAGGCCUACUCAACACUUGGGAAGCAAUAGGAUCAAGAGCCCGUCCUUGCUCAGUGGAUCUCACUUUCAGGAGAGCUAAGCAGCAAGUGAACAGGGGACAGCACUGAGUUUGUAGAUGCUAAGAAGAAAGUGAACAGGAUGCUGAGGUAAGAGAAUAACUGGUUGUGGGGACUUUUCCUAGUAGAUGAUCAGGGAAGGUCUCCCAUGAGGUAACAUUGAAGCUGAGACCUCUGAGGAAUGAGAAGGAGCUGUCUGUUGGAAAUCUGAGGAGGAGAUUUCUGGGCAUAUGGAACAGCAAGUGCAAAAAUCUUAAGGCGGAAAUAAGCUAAAUAAUGUUCGAGGAGCAGCAAAAAGUUCGUUGUAGCUGGAGCAGAUGGAGUAAAAGGACAGAACGAUAAAGGAUGAGACUGGAGAGGUGGACAGGGCUGUAUCAUACACCUUGAGGUUCAUAGUAAUGACUUUGAGUUUUAUUUUAUGUCACUGAAAGAUUUUAAACUGAAGAGUGAUGUGAUCAAAGUUAUGUUUCGAAAGAUCACUCUGCUAGAUAGAGAACUAUGGGCAAGCAAGAGUGGAGACAUGGAGAGCUAUUAAGAGGUGAUUGGAACAAUCCAGAUGAGAGAUUAUUUGAUGCUCGAACUAAGGAGGUAGCAGCAAAGAUCAGGUAGAUGGAUUUACGGUAUGUUUUGGGAGUACAGUUGCCGGUAUUUCCUGAAGGAUUCAACGUAGAAAGUAAGAAUAAGAAAUGAAUCCAGAAUAACUUCCAGGAGUCUGUCUUCAGCAACCGGAUGGAUGAUGGUGCCAUUCAGUGAAUGAAAGGUUUGAUGAGGCUGAGGGUGGGGAAUCCACAGGUUUUUUUCUGUCGAGGUUAAUUUGAGGGUUUUGUGCGCUAUCCCAGAGGAUAAGUCAAGUUGUGGUGCAGACCUGAUUGUCAUCUUUAUUGGCCAUAUGCCUACAGUACAUUCCUCAGCCCCCUAAAGUAGGUGUGGCCACGUGCCUGUGCUCUCCCCAACGGAAAGUGUACAGAAGAGAUGUGCCCAGUUUCCAGGCUUGGCCCAGAAAAUUCGUCAACAGGUGCUCCUACUUACCCUGCCAGCUGGACGAUUCUGGUUCUGGAGAAGGCACAGCCUCAAGAUGGAAGAUUCCUAAGUGGAGAACAUUUGCCCCCAUUGACCUAUGUGUCCACCCAGGACUGUUCUAUGAGAAACAGAAAUAAACCUUUAUUGUUUUGA